CACUCCCCUGAGGAAGGUAACCUUGUCUAAACAAUGCUUUCCGUGUAAUAAAUUCCUUUCUUCUUUUUUUCAUGCCCUCUCUCUGCCUUUAAAAACCUUCCUCUCAUGUAGUUCAGUGGACUUCCCCUCGACUUGCUAGAUGGGAUGCUGUCCAAUUCACGAAUCCUUUAAAAAAGCCAUAGGACCUUCAAAUUUAUGCAGUUGAAUUUUGUUUUUUAACAACGUUGGUGGCAGCAGUGGGAUCUAAAGAAAAUUUCUGACAGCAUUCAGGAACAAUGAAAAAACAAGGGCACGGCGCCCUGCAAACCCCUUUGAGUUAAUGUCUUUCUUGUCAUUUCUUUUUUUUUUUUUAAGAUUUUAUUUAUUUAUUUAUUCAUAAGAAUACAGAGAGAGGAGAGAGAGAGAGAGGCAGAGACACAGGCAGAGGGAGAAGCAGGCUCCAUGCAGAGAGCCCGAUGUGGGACUCAAUCCCGGGAUUCCAGGAUCACACCCUGGGCUGAAGGCGGCGCUAAACCACUGAGCCACCCGGGCUGCCCUCUUGCCAUUUCUAAAGGCCACUGAGAGAAACUGGUAGAUACCAGAGUCCUCAGAGGGGAUCACAGAAGAAGGGACAGAGGCCAAUGAAGGCCUCAGAUCUCCUCCCGCUGGACCCUUUGAAGAUCUACAACUAGAUAUUAUUCAGCUGCCAUUUCGUAUGGGUUAUCAAUACGUCCUUGUUAUUGUGUGUAUGUUUUCCAGAUGGGUUAAAACCUUUCCCUGCCACAGGCUGAUGCCUUCACAGUGAGGGGAAAUAAAAACAAAACUGUUAAAAAAAUGUGUUUCCCACUUGGGAUAUAACUUGGGAUAUAUUCUCCAGGGGUUGAGGCCUCCACUUCACUGGGCAGCUCAUACAAACCUUAUCAAAAACUUUGCAAACUGGGCAGCCCAGGUGGCUCAGCGGUUUAGAGCCGCCUUCAGUCCGGGGCCUGAU